rnacentral:rRNA from 1 species
GAGGAACGCUGGCGGCGUGCCUAAUACAUGCAAGUCGAGCGAACAGACGAGGAGCUUGCUCCUCUGACGUUAGCGGCGAACGGGUGAGUAACACGUGGAUAACCUACCUAUAAGACUGGGAUAACUUCGGGAAACCGGAGCUAAUACCGGAUAAUAUAUUGAACCGCAUGGUUCAAUAGUGAACGACGGUUUUGCUGUCACUUAUAGAUGGAUCCGCGCCGCAUUAGCUAGUUGGUAAGGUAACGGCUUACCAAGGCGACGAUGCGUAGCCGACCUGAGAGGGUGAUCGGCCACACUGGAACUGAGACACGGUCCAGACUCCUACGGGAGGCAGCAGCAGGGAAUCUUCCGCAAUGGGCGAAAGCCUGACGGAGCAACGCCGCGUGAGUGAUGAAGGUCUUCGGAUCGUAAAACUCUGUUAUUAGGGAAGAACAAAUGUGUAAGUAACUAUGCACGUCUUGACGGUACCUAAUCAGAAAGCCACGGCUAACUACGUG